rnacentral:rRNA from 1 species
CAUAAUCAUUAGUCUUUUAAUUUGAGACUGGUAUGAAAGAGUAAACCAGGAGAAUUUCUUUUCAACUAAAAAAAUGAAAUUUACUUUUUAGUAAGAAGGCUAAAAUAAAACUUUUAGACAAGAAGACCCUAUAAAACUUUAUAUUUCUAUUUCUUAAAAGAAAGAAGAAGUAUUUUACUGGGGCGGUAGAGAAAAGAGCUUUCUUUAAAAAGAAGUAACAAACAAGUUUUUAUACCUAGAAGUUCUAAAAAAGAAAUAAGUUACUUUAGGGAUAACAGCUUAAUUUACUUAGAAAGAUCAAAUUGACAAGUAAGUUUAUGACCUCGAUGUUGAAUUAAAAUACUAUUUUUGCGCAAAAG